UACGUAGGGUGCGAGCGUUGUCCGGAAUUAUUGGGCGUAAAGAGCUCGUAGGCGGUUUGUCACGUCGGCCGUGAAAACCUGCAGCUUAACUGUGGGCGUGCGGUCGAUACGGGCAUCACUGGAGUUCGGCAGGGGAGACUGGAAUUCCUGGUGUAGCGGUGAAAUGCGCAGAUAUCAGGAGGAACACCGGUGGCGAAGGCGGGUCUCUGGGCCGAUACUGACGCUGAGGAGCGAAAGCGUGGGGAGCAAGCAGG
rnacentral:rRNA from 1 species